GCCUCACCUCUCUACUGUUAUGUAUGAGGUACAGACCUGAUGCCUCACCUCUCUACUGUUAUGUAUGAGGUACAGACCUGAUGCCUCACCUCUCUACUGUUAUGUAUGAGGUACAGACCUGAUGCCUCACCUCUCUACUGUUAUGUAUGAGGUACAGACCUGAUGCCUCACCUCUCUACUGUUAUGUAUGAGGUACAGACCUGAUGCCUCACCUCUCUACUGUUAUGUAUGAGGUACAGACCUGAUGCCUCACCUCUCUACUGUUAUGUAUGAGGUACAGACCUGAUGCCUCACCUCUCUACUGUUAUGUAUGAGGUACAGACCUGAU